UAUUGGGCAAUGGGGGAAACCCUGACCCAGCAACGCCGCGUGAGGGAAGAAGGCUUUCGGGUUGUAAACCUCUGUCCUUGGGGACGAAGNAAGUGACGGUACCUGACUAAGAAGCCCCGGCUAACUACGUGCCAGCAGCCGCGGUAAUACGUAGGGGGCAAGCGUUAUCCGGAUUUACUGGGUGUAAAGGGAGCGUAGACGGCGAUGCAAGUCUGAAGUGAAAGGCGGGGGCCCAACCCCCGGACUGCUUUGGAAACUGUAUGGCUGGAGUGCAGGAGAGGUAAGUGGAAUUCCUAGUGUAGCGGUGAAAUGCGUAGAUAUUAGGAGGAACACCAGUGGCGAAGGCGGCUUACUGGACUGUAACUGACGUUGAGGCUCGAAAGCGUGGGGAGCAAACAG
rnacentral:rRNA from 1 species